ACGAACCUGGGGUGCGCGAUACUCCUGUUAUUUUGAACCUACAUUACUUUAAACGGGACUCUUAUAUCUCUGUAAUAUGUCAGGCCUCCGAUUUUGCAGUGGAAGACAGAAAAUCAGAUGCGGACACCCACCUGGCGCCAGCUAGGAGUCAAAAUACAGGAACCGGCAUUUCGGGAUACAA
rnacentral:other from 2 species